AGUAGUUUUUUUUUUCCCCAUAACUCAAAACAUGGAAUUUUCAUACAUUCUAGAUUCAUUAUACAUAAUGAAGUGAAAUAUUUCAAGCCUUAUUUUGUUUUAAACUUGAUGAUUACAGCUUACAGCUCAUGGAAAUCAAAAAUGCAGUAUCUCAAAAUAUUAGAAUUAAGACUUUAUAAUACACAAAUGUUGACCUUCUGAAAAGUAUGUUAAUUUAGGCACUCAAUACUCGGUCAGGGCUCCUUUUACACAAAUUACUUCAUUAAUGUGGCAUGGCAUGGAAGCAAUCAACCUGUGGCACUGCUCAGGUGUUAUGGAUGCCCAGGUUGCUUUGAUAGUGGCCUUCAGCUCGUCUGUAUUGUUGGGUUUGGUGUCUCUCAUAGAUUCUCUAUGGGGGUCAGGUGAGUUGGCUGGCCAAUCAAGCACAGUACUAUCAUGGUCAGCAAAGCAGUUUUGGCACUGUGGGCAGGUGCCAAGUCCUACUGGAAAAGGAUGCCAGCAUCUCCAUAAAGCUUGUCAGCAGAUGGAAGCAUGAAGUGCUCUAAAAUUUCUUGCUAGAUGGCUGCACUGACUCUCGACUUGAGAAAACACAGUAGAUCAACACCAGCAGAUGACAGGGCACCCGAAAUCAUCACUGACUGUGGAACUUCACACUGUACUUCAAGCAACUUGGAUUCUGUGCCUCUCCACUCCACACUUCCUCCAGACUCUGGGACCUUGAUUUCCAAAUGAAAUGCGAAAUUUACUUUCAUCUUCCACAUGAUUGUGGUUACGUGUACUGGGCCAGACUGAGAGAUUAAAGGCUAUUAUACAUUCUUUAUUCUAAUAUUUUGAGAUACUGGAUUAAGAUUAAAACAAAAAAGGCUUGAAAUAUUUAACUUUGUGUAAUGAAUCUAGAAUAUAUGAAAGUUCCACUUUUUGAAUUAAGUUACGGAACAAAAUGAACUUUUCCACAAUACAAUUUAUUUAUUUAUUUAUUUAUUUUUUUAUGUACCUGUCCAUUGAGCAUCUGAUUUCAUUUUCUUACAGUUGCUAAUGGGCACAUUGUAAGUUAUUAUUGUGUUCCGAUAUUGUUUCUGUUUGCUAGACAAAACAUCAUAAGUAAUAUGCACUGUAGGAUGUAGAUGAUGAGCCCACCUCCGCUGUGGUACCAAAUGAAGAUGCUGGGAGGCCCACAGAGCUGCCCGCAAAGGAGCUGUAUAAGGUCCAUCAUCAAAUGCAGAUUAGAAGAGGUGGCAUGGAGAUGGACCUUCUUUAGAUGUGAUCGAUAAGCCUGACGUAGUGACUUCUGAGGCAGAGUAGGGAAGCAGAAUGGAGCUCUUGGCUGCAAUGGGAGGUGGAGAAACUUCCUCAGCUGACCAAGGAAGUUGAGUGGCAUCCUCAGCUGUAUAGGGAUGUUGAACGGCAUCCUCAGUCCCGCAGAGAGGCUGAGCGUCAUUCUCCAUCGACUGUGCAGGCUGAACUUGGUUGGCUGUGUCAGCAGACUCAGGUCUAUGCAGAGCUUGGUUGGCCAUGUCGUUAGUCUCAAGCAUAAGCAUAAUUUGGUUGGUCGUGAUGUCUGCUUCAGGUAUGAGGAGAACUUGGUUGGUUGUGACAUCGGCUGCAGGCAUGAGCAGAAUUUGGUUGGACGUGUCAGCAGACUCGGGCGUGAGCAGAAUUAGGUUGUCCAUGUCAGCGACCGUGUACUGGAACUUUGCGUGGGAGGUUGCCUCGUCGAUCUCGGACUGGAAUUUGGCUUGAGAGGCCGUCUCUUUGACCUGGGACAGGAACAUGUCUUGAAAUGCCGUUUCUUACACCUGGGACAGGAACGUGGCUUGAGAAGUCAUCUCUUCAACCUGGGACAGGAACGUGGCUUGAGAAGUCAUCUCUUGGACCUGGGACAGGAACAUGGCUUGGGAGGCCGUCUCGUCAACCUGGGACAGGAACGUGGCUUGAGAAGUCAUCUCUUGGACCUGGGACAGGAACAUGGCUUGGGAGGCCGUCUCAUCCACCUGGGACAGGAACUUGGCUUGGGAGGCCAUCUGUUCGACCUCGGGCCGGAACUUGGCUUGAGAGGUCGUAUCUUUGACCUCAGCCUGGGCCCUGACUUUAUGCUGGAGCUCUGGAGAUGGGACAACCUCAUGGAUCUCGUGCUGGGGCCCUGGCAAGAAGGUCACCAUGUUAACUGAGGCUCUGGAGUUGAGAUUACAUCAUGGCUCUUGAGCUGGAGCUCUGGGGAGGAGGUUGCCACAUUGACCUCCAACUGGGGCUCUGGAGCUGAGACUAAUUCAAGAGUCUUGUGCUGGAGCUCAGCAGGGAAGACCACCUUGUGGCUCUCAUGCUGGAGCUCUGGGGA